rnacentral:lncRNA from 1 species
UCAAUUUUCUAGUGAUGCUGCAAACUCUACCAUAGACAGGAUUUAAGUGGAAAACGUUGUUUUUAGCAUUGCGUUAAUCAGAAUUUUUCUUGAAGGGUUGGGCAUCAAAGAAAUAAGACUGGAGACAGAAGCCAAAGUCUUGUCCACACACAGAUGUCCAACGUUGCUGAUGCUGAACAGGUACUUGUCGUGAAUGUUUAACAUGAAGCGAUUGUAAGUAUAGGCAGGGCUCUUCAAAAGUUCCCAUUUGCCCCAAGUUUAGCAAAUGGAAAUUAAAUGUCAGUUGAAUGUGCGUGAAGCUAGAUUUCUUAUGUUAAAAGUUACAAUUUAUUUUUAAUGAUUGCUCGUCUCCUGAUUUCUGAAGGGCAAUCUUGUGUUCGUCUUCUGCCAGUUGGGAGAGAAGCAAAUAUGAAACACUAAACUUUCAAAAAAGAUCACCCGUAAAAGAUCUUUCAGGAUGGAUGUCCAUUCCACCCUUUUCCAUGGCCAUGUGGAUCUGCUUCUAUUAUAUUUUGUUACUUCUCUUCAUGAUCCAGGGAAGACAUGCCAGAAAAAAAGAGUUGUUGGAGUUAAUGGGUGGAUACGAGCUCUCUGUUCCUCAGAAACCAUGUCCUCACCACCCACUGAACCCUCCCAGGGACUUGGAUUUUAUUAUUUUGCUUUUCCAUCCAAGCAGGUUCUGAAUAUCUUGUAUUCUGUGGCUCUGUAUUAGCACUUUCUGAAUUAUACAGAAAUCGGUAUGGUUAAUUUGCGCAUUGUCCUUAAAGAAAACACAUUACCAUUGAGGGAUUAYAUAUUCAGACUUAAAUUUUUGAACUCUGCCCUCCAAUUUUCCUGUGAACUUCCCACCCUUUCCAUUGAAGAAGCAAAAUGUUCUGUCACUUUAAUCAAGAAGUCGUCUAGAGGUCUACCUAUCACAUCCUUUGGAUGUCCUGUUUCAUAGCAAUGCCCAAUGAGCUGUUUUCUUUCUCAUGUUGGAGCUAGCAUGUAGCUUGGGAAACCGUAGUGCUUUGCAGAAAUUUCUACAAGGAAAUUUC